UACGGGGGGGGGUAAGCGUUGUUCGGAAUUACUGGGCGUAAAGGGCUCGUAGGCGGCCAACUAAGUCGGACGUGAAAUCCCUCAGCUUAACUGGGGAACUGCGUCCGAUACUGGAUGGCUUGGAUUUGGGAGAGGGAUGCGGAAUUCCAGGUGUAGCGGUGAAAUGCGUAGAUAUUGGGAAGAACACCUGAGGCGAAGGCGGGUUGCUGGGCCGACACUGACGCUGAGGCGCGAAAGCCAGGGGAGCGAACGGG
rnacentral:rRNA from 1 species